rnacentral:lncRNA from 1 species
UUAAUCUCACGAAUCCUAGAUAUUGUCAAUAGAAUCUCUGAACCUCAAUCUCACCGUCACCGCACAGAACCCUCAAUCGAACCCUCAAUCUCUCAGAACUCUUAAUCGAAUCCUCUAACUCACCCACUGAAAUCUCAAUCGAACCCUCAAUCUCUCAGAAUCCUGAAUCAACCUUCAGUCUCAAACUCUCACGUUCAAUCACCCUCACCUCACUUAAAUCUCAAUCGAAGAGUAAUUUGUGCAAAUAUAUGUUCAAGACCUAUUCAAAUUUAGGCGAUUCUAGCUUUAAAGUUGAGAAAUUUUUUGGAGGCAUAACAAAUUCAAUGAGCUAGCAUUCGAUGAAAAAAGCUGUAAAGAAGCAAUGGAUCUGUUUGGAGAAACCAAACAUCUUCAAAUUAUGGUCUUACCUUGACUCAGAAGAAUGAGGAGAGUGAAAAGGAUGAGAUUGAGAAUACUGGUCUUACCUUGUGUCGAAUAUUGAGAACAACAAAGCUUAACAUUGCAGAUUUUUUCAAAGAACUUCCUCAGUUUGUUGUCAAAGCUGGUCCAAUUUUAAGCAAUCGAUUCAGCUCUGAUUGGGAAAACAAGCUUGAGGCGAAAGAGAUGCAUGCUAACACUAUUCACUUGAAGAUUCUUAGUGUGUAGCCCAGUAAUAUUUUUUUUUUUUUGAAGUAUAAGGUUGUUUGCUUUGAUUAUAGUUUGCUUUACAUCUUACAACUUUGAUGGUGCCAGGUAUUAUAAGCGUGCAUUUGAAGAGUUCUUUGUGUCAACUGAUGCAAAUGUUGAAAUAAGUCGUCUGUUACCAACCGUGUAUCUGAGUGUCAUCGUUUUGGAUGGUUACUUUUCUUGGCGCUCCGUGUACAUGCUUUCAACCAUUUUAAAGAUUUGGUGACUUGCACCAAUGGUUUAAUUUCUAUCAUGACCGUCUAAAUCCAAUAGAAAGGAGAAAGAUUUUAAGCUCCUAAUCUAGCUAAACACGACCAUUGACGGAAGCUCUAAACCCAGGUCUUCAACUUUUUUCAUUCUUUACUUUCACCUCUUUUAUCAUGAUAAUUUUUUCAUAUUAGUUUUGUUUUCUUUGUUUUGAUUUCUCUAUAUUUAUGUCUCUGCUGCUGCAUUUUUUUCAAGUGUCUUGGGUGUUUAGUAUGCGUAGGAGGUUUAUAUUUGGUGUUUAAUGUUGUUCCAUGACCCCCCAAAUCUAUUUGUGCUUCUGUUUUUUUCAUUUGAGCUGAAUUAACGUAUAUACACCACUAUGAGUUUUGGUUAACUUUAUUCAAUUACAAAUAUAGUUGUAAAUUAUAUACAAGUUGUAGGGUUGUUUCUGUAACCAUUCAUGACAUAAAUAGUGAAUACAAAUGACCAAAUGAAAUGUAAUUAAAAUAGGUGAACUGACUGCAAUGAUUGUUCGAUUCUCUUGUCAUGAUGACCAUAGUUUUGUUAUAUAAUUUACAAGUUUGUCUAGGAUUUUUUAGAAUGAUAAAUUAGACAUGCCAUUUCAAAAAGGAUGAUAGUGCUAGUUUAGUGCCUGCUUUCUUUUUGGUUCUUCUUGGUAUCUGAUAUUAGUUUGAAACAAAGAAGAUAAAAGUAAAUGUUGUGAGCUACAAUAUGGUUACUCCUAAAGAACGUGAUAAUACAAACUGGUUGGUGGUUAUCAAGACAAAAGCAAGAAGCACAAUCAAUGCAAGAGGUUGUGAAGACAGGCCAGUAAGUAGAAUCAUAUCCCGGAGAUGAGGAUGAGGAUAAAGAAUAAUUUGACUCAUUAAUUCUUGUUUAUUUUCAUUAUUUAAUGUAAUAAAUUUCACAUUGAAGGCUAAAUUGUCGAUAUUCAUGACAAAAUUGAUUAACUUUGGUUAGACAUUUAUUUUAAUGUAAUAAAUCUC